AGAGAAUGUGCAGAUUGCCGUCAGUGAUUUCUAAGACUCCUGAGGCUACCACAGUGUCUACUCCACAGAUUCAUGUGACCUGUGUACAUGUUGGGAGAAAAUUAGGUGGUCCAGGCCUGAGCGUGGGAAGAUAGGGAUGAAUGAGGAGCAUCUCCACCUGGUCAUGGGCUUCCGACUAGUCAUCUCUUGGAAUGACAUCUCCCUUUGCACUAGACUUGGACACAAAUGCACCAAGGCUUCCUGCUUCAUCCUGCACCUGCCUUCUUGAAAGAAAACAAGACAUCAGAUACUUAUUCAAAUAAUGGAAUAGCUGAUCAACUGGGUCUCUGCACAAUAGAGAGUUAUCCAUGAUAAAAGAACAAC